rnacentral:rRNA from 1 species
GACGAACGCUGGCGGCGUGCUUAACACAUGCAAGUCGAACGGAAAGGCCCUGCUUUUGUGGGGUGCUCGAGUGGCGAACGGGUGAGUAACACGUGAGUAACCUGCCCUUGACUUUGGGAUAACUUCAGGAAACUGGGGCUAAUACCGGAUAGGAGCUCCUGCUGCAUGGUGGGGGUUGGAAAGUUUCGGCGGUUGGGGAUGGACUCGCGGCUUAUCAGCUUGUUGGUGGGGUAGUGGCUUACCAAGGCUUUGACGGGUAGCCGGCCUGAGAGGGUGACCGGCCACAUUGGGACUGAGAUACGGCCCAGACUCCUACGGGAGGCAGCAGUGGGGAAUAUUGCACAAUGGGCGGAAGCCUGAUGCAGCAACGUCGCGUGCGGGAUGACGGCCUUCGGGUUGUAAACCGCUUUCGCCUGUGACGAAGCGUGAGUGGCGGUAAUGGGUAAAGAAGCACCGGCUAACUACGUG